rnacentral:tRNA from 1 species
UGUAGCUCAGUGGUAGAGUGCUUGCCUAACAUGCAUAAGGCCCUGGGUUCCAUUCCCUGCA